UACGGAGGGUGCGAGCGUUGUCCGGAAUCACUGCGCGUAAAGGGCGCGUAGGCGGCUUCUUAAGCGUGUGGUGAAAGCUCAGGGCUCAACUCUGAGUCGGCCAUGCGAACUGGGAGGCUUGAGCACUGUAGAGGCAGGUGGAAUUCCGGGUGUAGCGGUGGAAUGCGUAGAGAUCCGGAAGAACACCGGUGGCGAAGGCGGCCUGCUGGGCAGUAGCUGACGCUGAGGCGCGACAGCGUGGGGAGCAAACAGG
rnacentral:rRNA from 1 species